CCUACGGGAGGCAGCAGUGAGGAAUAUUGCACAAUGGGGGAAACCCUGAAGCAGCGACGCCGCGUGAGUGAAGAAGGCUUUCGGUGUGUAAAGCUCUAUCUGCAGGGAAGAAAAUGACGGUACCUGAUUAAGAAGCCCCGGCUAACUACGUGCCAGCAGCCGCGGUAAUACGGAGGGGGCAAGCGUUAUCCGGAUUUACUGGGUGUAAAGGGAGCGUAGACGGGAGCACAAGUCAGUAGUGAAAUGCCGGGGCUCAACCCCGGAACUGGAUUGGAAACUGUGCAGCUAGAGUGCAGGAGAGGUAAGUGGAAUUCGUAGUGUAGCGGUGAAAUGCGUAGAUAUCAGGAGGAACACCAGUUGCGAAGGCAGCUUACUGGACUGUAACUGACGUUGAGGCUCGAAAGCGUGGGGAGCAAACAGGAUUAGAUACCCCUGUAGUC
rnacentral:rRNA from 1 species